CGAACAAUCUUGGCCGGCGCUGCCGCUCCUCGCCCCGCCAGCCACUUCCCCUCCGACGAUCCUCCGUCUUCCCCAGCCCCGGCCCCUCCUCCUCCCCUACGCCCCUAGCUCCACCCGUCCUCACCUCCCGCUUCAGAUCGACGCCGCCGCAAGAGAGAGGGAGCCGGGGCCCCCACGAACAAUCUUGGCGCGGCGGGCUUGCUCGCCGGCGCGUGCGUGCAGCCUCAGCACGACGCGCGGCGCUCCGUCGAGCUUGCCCGACCGCGUCGCUCACGUACCAGAGGGCGGCUGCUGCACUCCGCCGAUGGGCCGCUGGCCACCAGGACGAGACGGUGGUGACGCGCGUCUUCUUCUUCUUCUUCUUCUCGGGGUCGCCCUACAUCAGGUACACGGCGCCGGUCGCACCCUCCUCCGUGGCAGCGGGCCGGAGCAGCGCCCCGGCUCCUUACUCGCAGGCUCCUCCGACGCCAUCGACGACUGGCACGUCAAGUACGUCUCAUGGUUAUUGGACUUAAUUUUGACAUGUCCGCGUCUCCUAGCUGCUAAUGCCUACAUCCUGCUGCCCAUUCCUUCUUCGACUGGGAUCUCUGCUACAGCAACGUUUCCACCAUCGGCAUGCCACAGAAGGUCUAUGUUUCUGUCCCAAGUACUCCAUUGUUUUUCCUGGGCUGCACUGUGUAUGUAUAUAUGCUUGCGUAGAAAUGUGGUUUGAUUUUGGUCACUACCUUGCUGGUGAUGUUGAUAGGCUCAUUACACGUAUUUGACUUCAUCAAUGUCAACCUGAAACUGGUUAUUUAUUUGAUGUUGGCAAAGGUUGGACUUUUAGUUCUUGAGAGUUUUGAUAUAGCUGUAAUGUUCUGCUUGAUUAUUUGCAUCCUGCCUUUUUUUUUUUUUUGCUGAUGCUAGUGAUGUCCUGGCAUUAUUUGUUGCUUUUGCUGAUGCAAGCUUGCUGUUGGAUUAAAAUUUCGUAUCUGAAAGGUUGGACAUGCAUUGAUCUGGGUAGGAUUGUUUCUGAAUGUUGCUGUUUGGUCGGAUUGAAUUGGGUACCUCCCCCAUCGAUCCGUGUACUGUUUGCUUACGGACUAGCCUGGUCCGUUUGCUAAUUUGGAUAGGUAGCAAAUCUGAUGCAUAUUUUUGUUUGGAAGCAUGAGAUUGUUGAUGUAGUUGAUCUCUGUUUCCUGAAUGAUUUGACCAUUUGCUUGAUCAGUUAAGCAUCAAAGCUUGACCAUCACAUGUAAAAGGAUUUUACUUUGGAUAGUCGCUGAUUUGAAGAAACUUUGUUGCUGUUGUUAUUGUUAUCUGGUAGCACUCUCUUGCAAUUGCUUGGAUUGGUAUUUUCGUAGUAGGCUGUAGCCUUAUCUUCUGGUGUUUUAAUUUUGCUGACCAUUAUGUUUGUUCUUGUUUGAGGAUAAUAAGGAGCACUGAAUGACAGUGUUGGCCUUCUUCUUCGACUCCAUGUGCUUGGUUGAGUUUCCUCUCCUCUGUUGAAUGCUUGGUCAUCAAGUUGAUGCCCUGUGGUACUUUGCUGGUACCGGAAUGUGCAGUUGGUGCAGUUGAUCUGGUGCUAUGAUUUAUUAUUCUGCUUAGUCAGUUAUGGUCUCUGUGACAUGAAUGUCCGAAAACAGUAAUGGUCAUGUAAAUUUUUUGAACAUGUUUGCUAAUUAACCUAUAUUAACUAAUUAGUUAGCUUAUCGUGUACUACCUCGGGUCAGAAUUAAUCGACGCGGUUCUUGCACUAAAGUAGUUGUAUGAAGUGUACUACUCCGCGUCAAUUAAUACCGACCGGAGGGAGUACUUUAGUUUCUUUAAAUAACCCGCUGUUCUCCUGUGUAAAAAAUACCUGGAAAUGAAGCAAAUAAUAAGCGUUUGACAAUCGUGUUUGUCUGUUGCUGAUGCUUUCUUUCUUUGGUCUACAUAUUCUGCACAGUAAUAUUGUGCAGGGGCAUUGAGGAGGAGCAGAUGAUAAGCUAGCUGGAAGCUGCAAGCUGUUAUUCCCCGUCAAAACUUUGAGAAACAAUACAUGCAUGUGUUUUGUGGUUGAGAGCAACACACAGUUUUUGUUGUUUGUGUCGUAAGAGGGUUGAAUUCUUUUUGUGGCCUUGCUGUUGAUGCAUGUCGAAAGAUGGAACCAUUGCCUAGUUCUGCCAGUUGGAAGUGUUUAUAGCCUUAUUAUUAUUAUUAUAUUAUUAUUAUUACCAUUAUGAAUUCCUUGUUGUUUUAGCUUAAUAUAAGAGAGAAGGAAAUAUAUGCAUGUGUUGCUUAGGUCACGCUGGAAUUAACCGUGCCUCUUGUGUGUGUCAGGAGCAGGUAAAGAGAGAAGACUUGAUUGCUCGAUCUCUGCAAGUGAUGCGCUUGGCCCUGUCUGCUGAACUCGCUGCGCCCCUUGUUACAGUCAGGCGUCGGGAGCCUUCAAUUUGGCGGCUGGGUGCAACAUUCGAGAGGGUUUUCGUUUUGUUGUAAUCGUGACUUUAUGAUAUAUAUAUAUCUGUAGACUUUUCCGGGCCAGCAGGCCAGGUUGUGAUUUA